UUAGGUUAAGUUAUGAAGGGCGCAUGGUGAAUGCCUUGGUACUAGGAGCCGAUGAAGGACGGGACUAACACCGAUAUGCUUCGGGGAGCGGUAAGUACGCUUUGAUCCGGAGAUUUCCGAAUGGGGCAACCCAAUCAGCUUAGUCGCUGAUUACUUGACUAGUGAAUACAUAGCUAGCAAGAGGUAGACGCAGUGAACUGAAACAUCUUAGUAGCUGCAGGAAGAGAAAGAAACAUCGAUUCCCUGAGUAGCGGCGAGCGAAAAGGGAAGAGCCCAAACCAACAAGCUUGCUUGUUGGGGUUGUAGGACUGAACAUUAGAGUUACCAAAGUGCGACGUAGUCGCAACAGUUGGGAAGCUGUGCCAUAGAGGGUGAAAGCCCCGUAGACGAAACGUCACACUCUCUGUUCAGGAUCCUGAGUACGGCGGGACACGUGAAACCCCGUCGGAACCCGCGAGGACCAUCUCGCAAGGCUAAAUACUCCCUAGUGACCGAUAGUGAACCAGUACCGUGAGGGAAAGGUGAAAAGCACCCCGGAAGGGGAGUGAAAUAGUUCCUGAAACCAUGUGCCUACAAGCUGUCGGAGCCCGUUAAUGGGUGACGGCGUGCCUCUUGCAGAAUGAACCGGCGAGUUACGAUUGCAUGCAAGGUUAAGGUGGAAAAACCGGAGCCGUAGCGAAAGCGAGUCUUAAAUGGGCG
rnacentral:rRNA from 2 species